rnacentral:rRNA from 1 species
GCCUAAAGCGUCCGUAGCCUGAUCUAUAAGUUUCCGGUUAAAUCCACAUGCUCAACAUUUGGGCUGCCGGAAAAACUGUGGAUCUAGGGAGUGGGAGAGGUAGACGGUACUCGAUAGGAAGGGGUAAAAUCCUUUGAUCUAUUGAUGACCACCAGUGGCGAAGGCGGUCUACCAGAACACGUUCGACGGUGAGGGAUGAAAGCUGGGGGAGCAAACCGGAUUAGAUACCCGGGUAGUCCCAGCUGUAAACGAUGCAGACUCGGUGAUGCAUUGGCUUGUGGCCAGUGCAGUGCCGCAGGGAAGCCGUUAAGUUUGCCGCCUGGGAAGUACGUACGCAAGUAUGAAACUUAAAGGAAUUGGCGGGGGAGCACCACAAGGGGUGAAGCCUGCGGUUCAAUUGGAGUCAACGCCAGAAAUCUUACCCGGAGAGACAGCAGAAUGAAGGUCAAGCUGAAGACUUUACCAGACAAGCUGAGAGGUGGUGCAUGGCCGUCGCCAGCUCGUGCCGUGAGAUGUCCUGUUAAGUCAGGUAACGAGCGAGACCCUUGCCUCUAGUUGCCACCAUUGCUCUCUGGAGCAGUGGGGCGAAUUAGCGGGACCGCCGCAGUUAAUGCGGAGGAAGGAAAGGGCUACGGCAGGUCAGUAUGCCCCGAA